UACGUAGGGUCCGAGCGUUGUCCGGAAUUAUUGGGCGUAAAGGGCUCGUAGGCGGUUUGUCGCGUCGGGAGUGAAAACAUCUGGCUUAACUGGGUGCUUGCUUUCGAUACGGGCAGACUGGAGGUAUGCAGGGGAGAACGGAAUUCCUGGUGUAGCGGUGAAAUGCGCAGAUAUCAGGAGGAACACCGGUGGCGAAGGCGGUUCUCUGGGCAUGUCCUGACGCUGAGGAGCGAAAGUGUGGGGAGUCAAACAGG
rnacentral:rRNA from 1 species